rnacentral:rRNA from 1 species
UACGGAGGGUGCAAGCGUUAUCCGGAUUCACUGGGUUUAAAGGGUGCGUAGGUGGGUUGGUAAGUCAGUGGUGAAAUCUCCAGGCUUAACUUGGAAACUGCCAUUGAUACUAUCAAUCUUGAAUACCGUGGAGGUCAGCGGAAUAUGUCAUGUAGCGGUGAAAUGCUUAGAGAUGACAUAGAACACCAAUUGCGAAGGCAGCUGGCUACACGAAUAUUGACACUGAUGCACGAAAGCGUGGGGAUCAAACAGGA